rnacentral:rRNA from 1 species
UACGGGGGGGGUAAGCGUUGUUCGGAUUUACUGGGCGUAAAGGGCGCGUAGGCGGCGUGACUAGUCACUUGUGAAAUCUCCGGGCUUAACUCGGAACGGUCAAGUGAUACUGUCGUGCUAGAGUACAGAAGGGGCAACUGGAAUUCUCGGUGUAGCGGUGAAAUGCGUAGAUAUCGAGAGGAACACCUGCGGCGAAGGCGGGUUGCUGGGCUGAUACUGACGCUGAUGCGCGAAAGCCAGGGGAGCGAACGGG